rnacentral:snoRNA from 1 species
UGCCACUGUGCACACUAGUCGUUGGGACUGUCCCGUGCACUGGGCUGAUCCCAGGUCACCAGUGGCUAUAAAAUGUCAGGUUUUGCUUUCACCUCUGCCCUGUUGGUUGCGGAAAGGUGACAAUGAGGCCUGGCACAGUC